rnacentral:rRNA from 1 species
AGUGAACGCUGGCGGUAGGCCUAACACAUGCAAGUCGAACGGCAGCACAGUAAGAGCUUGCUCUUACGGGUGGCGAGUGGCGGACGGGUGAGGAAUACAUCGGAAUCUACUUUUUCGUGGGGGGUAACGUAGGGAAACUUACGCUAAUACCGCAUACGACCUACGGGUGAAAGCAGGGGAUCUUCGGACCUUGCGCGAUUGAAUGAGCCGAUGUCGGAUUAGCUAGUUGGCGGGGUAAAGGCCCACCAAGGCGACGAUCCGUAGCUGGUCUGAGAGGAUGAUCAGCCACACUGGAACGGAGACACGGUCCAGACUCCUACGGGAGGCAGCAGUGGGGAAUAUUGGACAAUGGGCGCAAGCCUGAUCCAGCCAUACCGCGUGGGUGAAGAAGGCCUUCGGGUUGUAAAGCCCUUUUGUUGGGAAAGAAAAGCAGCAGGUUAAUACCCCGCUGUUCUGACGGUACCCAAAGAAUAAGCACCGGCUAACUUCGUG